rnacentral:tRNA from 1 species
GGCCUCGUAGCUCAGCCGGAUAGAGCAGGGCUUUCCUAAAGCCAAGGUCGGGGGUUCGAGUCCCUCCGAGGCCG